AUUAGAAAUCGUCUCAUAUAUGUUCCAUAAAUAAUUUCGUGUACGUACACAGAAAAAAUUCGAUGAAGGGUAUAAUUGUAAUUUUCCAGUCAUCUUCAACCUGUGUAUCCUUUUCUGCAAACCUAAUUUUGCGGCCGUCUUUAUCAGUUUUCUCAAAAUCUCAUUUUUUUACGUUUUGAUUACUAUUUAUAAAUAAAUCUUGUAAACUUAGAGUAUCUUUAGUUUAAAAAGCUAAAGUGUUUGUAUCUAGGAGCUUUUUUUUUGCAUUUUGUUCAUCUCUGAAAACAAGAAAUUUGUUCCUCAAUUUUGGAGUUCAAUGGAGAGAUGUCGAAAUAUGAAGGAGUGGAUAAUGAAUUUUGAACUUCUUUCUACUUCUCUCUCGAAUUACUCCGUCUCUUUCUCUUUUUCUUCUUCUUUGUUUCUUUGUUUCAGUGUUUUUUU
rnacentral:sRNA from 1 species